GCUAACGCUCACGUUAUAAAGAUUCUCAUCCCGUAGAGCGAAUGAUUAGAGGUAUUGGGGUCGAAACGGCCUCAACCUAUUCUCAAACUCCAAAUAGAUGAGAACCCCCGGCUUUCUUAAAAGUGAAGCCGUGGGAAAUUUUUAUAAUGUGGAUCAGAGUGUUAAGUGGGCCAAUUUUGGUAAGCAGAACUGGCGCUGUGG
rnacentral:rRNA from 1 species